rnacentral:misc_RNA from 1 species
UUGAUUCUUCUCAUGUUCAGACAUAAAGGACUUGUGUCUUGCAUAAAGGCGGCGCCAGAAGCACCGAAGCACGUUUUUAAACGUCCACAGGUUUGAGGGGUUGAAGGUACAGAGACCAUUCGUUAAUGAUCCCUCCGCAGGUUCACCUACGGAGA